UCAUUAGACUUUUAAUUAGAGCCUAGAAUGAAGGGUUAAACAUUUUUCUUUCUUUUUUANNAAUUCUUUAAUAAAACUUUUAUUAAAAAUAAAAAUAUUUUUAUCUUUUAAUUAGACGACNAAGACCCUAUCAAACUUUACUUUAGUUUAACUGGGGCAGUUAAUUAAUAAAAAUUUUAAUAAAGAUUAAGUACUAAAUAGANNNCCCAACANUAGUUGAUUACANUGAACAAGUUACUGUAGGGAUAACAGCGUAAUAUAUAUCUAAAGUUCUUAUUUUGAUAUAAGUUUGCGACCUCGAUGUUGAAUUNAUACUACUUUCAAGCGCAAGAGCCUGAAAAGUGGGUCUGUUCGACCCCUAAAUAUAUACAUGAUUUGAGUUCAAAUCGGUGUAAACCAGAUUGGUUUCUAUCUAUUNUUAUUUGUGUCUUAGUACGAAAGGACCUGAAACAAUAUUAUAUAAUNAUUUAUAUGGCAGAAAAAUGCUUUAGAUUUAGGAUCUAAUUAUAAUAGAUUAUUAUACUCUAUUUAACUUGCCUAAUCUCUGUUAUUAGAAUCCUUAUCGCAGUAGCUUUUUAUACCCUCCUAGAGCGAAAAAUUCUAAGCUACAUCCAAAUUCGAAAGA
rnacentral:rRNA from 1 species